rnacentral:rRNA from 1 species
AUCAUCUACCCUCUUGUGGGGAAUACCGCUGGGAAACCGGUGACAAUACCGCAUAAGCUCGAGAGAGGAAAGCGGCUUUAUGAAAGUAGAGCCGCGCAGGAGGAGGAGUCCGCGGCUGAUUAGCUAGUUGGUGAGGUAAUGGCUCACCAAGGCUUAGAUCAGUAGCCGGCCUGAGAGGGCACACGGCCACACUGGCACUGAAACACGGGCCAG